rnacentral:rRNA from 1 species
CCUACGGGAGGCAGCAGUGGGGAAUAUUGGACAAUGGGGGGAACCCUGAUCCAGCCAUGCCGCGUGUGUGAAGAAGGCCCUCGGGUUGUAAAGCACUUUCAGUGAGGAAGAACGCCUGGUGGUUAAUACCCAUCAGGAAAGACAUCACUCACAGAAGAAGCACCGGCUAACUCCGUGCCAGCAGCCGCGGUAAUACGGAGGGUGCGAGCGUUAAUCGGAAUUACUGGGCGUAAAGCGCGCGUAGGUGGCUUGAUAAGCCGGUUGUGAAAGCCCCGGGCUCAACCUGGGAACGGCAUCCGGAACUGUCAAGCUAGAGUGCAGGAGAGGAAGGUAGAAUUCCCGGUGUAGCGGUGAAAGGCGUAGAGAUCGGGAGGAAUACCAGUGGCGAAGGCGGCCUUCUGGACUGACACUGACACUGAGGUGCGAAAGCGUGGGUAGCAAACAGGAUUAGAUACCCCGGUAGUC